AAGGGUCUAGCUUAACUAGAAGAGUGCUCAGUUUCCGAAGCUGAGAGGCGUAGGUGCAAUUCCUACGGCCCUUGCCA
rnacentral:tRNA from 1 species